ACCUGCACAUGUAGCUAAUAAGCACAAUUGAAAUUUAGAAGACAUGCUAAUUAUGUCACUUAUUAAAUAACUUGUUUAACAAGUGUGCAAAAUUACUCCUGAUGAUAGCGGGUUUGCAGCCCAUAAUUUAACAAUUUUAAAUAUAAAAUCAAAAACUUUGUGUCAAGCCGCUGAAACAACAAUAUGAUGUUGGUUAAGUAAUAUAAGGACUGAUGAAAAAGGGUGCACACACACACACACACACACCGUAAACUCGAGGUCACAACUCUAAGCACAUUAUGAGCACUCAGUUGGAGCGCAGUCAUUUGUUAGUCAAAGUUUGUAGGAAUGCAGUUACACGCCACAGGAGCUGAGUAGAAAUCCCUUGGUCAACUGUCACAUUUUCAUCUUGUAAAAAUUUAAAAUACAACUGUACAAUGUUUUUGAAUUUCCCAGCGAACCCACAGCAAUUCCAGAAAUAUAACAGUAUCGUGAAACUCUGGGGGAAUGCAAUCUGGUGUGACAGGACCUAAGCUUUGAGAAAACAAUCAGGUUACCAGAAAUUUGCAUUUGUCAAAUUCUUUGAGCUGGAUGAUAGUAACAAACAUUAGUAAAAGGAUGUAAAAUUUGAAUUACAGUUCUCAUAUGAAAUGCAAUCAUUAUAUUAAUAUAUAUGUAAAUUAUAUCUUACACUAGCUAACAAUUACCCCCACCCCCUUCCUAAUAAAAUCACAACAUACACAAGCUAUAAUUCAAUAGUGUACUCGUAGUUUAGAUAAAUCUACAAAUCUACCUCUGGUAUUAGUAGGAUAUUUUAGGUAAAAAAAAACCAACUCACUUUUUGGCUUUCUUGAAGUACCUCAUGUUUAUCAACUAGAAAAUAUCUAAUAUCAAAAUACUCCAGUAUAUUCUGUAAAUAACUUCUCAGCAUGCAUGGUCAAUAGAAAUGUCAUGACCUAAAGCCCAUAUUCCUCUGCUACAUUUGGUUUGCUAAUGUCACCGCCGGCCAUUCAUGCACAUGCUAAGGUCCUCUAUCAGAUGUCAAUCACUAACUGGAUCCUGAUAAGAUGUUCGGGGUGUGCUAAUAAUAGUAACUGUGUGAAAUUUGAGAGCUUUCAACAGCAGAUCACUGCUUUAGGAACAGAUGCAAAAUGUGGUCGCAAAUUUAAUUUAAGAUCAACGCUGCAUGUGUACUUUAUGAAGGUGAACAGAAAUAUUGUUUGGAAAUUGCAGUUGCAAACUUCGCAGGAUGCUUGCAUCAAGGUGAUGAUGAUUGGCAGUGACAAAAUAUUUUGCCUUGUGGAUUUUGGUUUGAAAUCACUGCAUUUGAAUUGUUUGCUGGUCUGGUGGAUGGGUAGCAUUAAUUUGGACAGAGCUUGAUCGAGAUGAAAGAUGCUUGAAGAUUAAGAUUCUAUAGAAGAUCUGGACAUCCCCCCUGGGAGGAAAUCAAUGAGGCCACAGAAAAGUUCAAAAGCCAUCCAGCCAGUCACACAGUAUGAACAGAAGAUAAACAGAACAGAAGAUAAACCUUGAUUCAUGUCAACCAUGUAUCGAAGACCGAAUUAAGUGAAAGUGCUUUCUGGAAAAUGCAGCUCUACUUGGGAACUCCAUCCUGAAUUUGAUGGAUGCGAGCUUUAUGUUUUUAGUAAUUAUAAAAUCAUAUGCACUGAGACAAUUAUUAAUAUAGUUAAAUUUUUAAUUAUAUAAACAUCUAAUCCAAUUACAAACUAAACUUGAUAUUUAAUAUAAAAAGAAAUAUUAAUAAAUUGGUAUUCUUAAUUACAUGCCUAUGUAUGUCUAAGCUGUUAUUUUGAAUUGUAACCCAAAAAUGCCGCGAUAUAAAAUAUUAAAAAUUCAAACUCUUUUUUACUUUAUAUCGAGUAAUCAACUUAGAAAAUUUUAGCUGAUCAUCAUCAGGACUGAGCGAUAGUCAAGUACUCGAGUACUUGUUAACAUCCUUAAUAUUUACUUAAAGUAUAACAUGUUUAAAUGCUUAUUUAAUUUAAGAUUACCGGUAUUUUGCUUAUUGCUGUUUUUACUUUCAAUUGGAACAUUCUUCAAGUACCAUGUAAAGGUUUCAGUUAAAGAGAAAAGAGGAACGUUCCUCAAGAUUCCUCGUGAAGAUUUCAGUUGUAGUGAAAAGAGGAACGUUCCUCAGAUGACUUGUCAAGAUUUCUGUUGAAGUGAAAAGAGGAACGUUCCUCAGAUGACUUGUCAAGAUUUCAGUUGUAAUGAAAAGAGGAACGUUCCUCAGAUGACUUGUCAAGAUUUCUGUUGAAGUGAAAAGAGGAACGUUCCUCAUAUUCUUUGUGAAGAUUUCUGUUGAAGUGAAAAGAGGAACGUUCCUCAGAUGAAGUGUAGAGAUUUUAGUUUAGGUAAAGAGGAACGUUCCUCUGAUGCUUCAUAAGUUUUUAUAAGAAUAAGAGGAACGUUACUCAUUUUAAAUGCCUGUGUAAUGCAUUUAAAUGUCAAUGGUUCAGGAAAAUUCCAUAACUUUGACUUGUAAAGGCUUAUUU